CCAAUGUUUCAGCCUAUCACAGCCGUUAGAUUGACGCGGCUUCUCAGUUGGCGGUAGACACGUGUCCUCAUCGUCUUCGAUUCUGGUUGCUAUAAAGGCCCCUGAACCGGCCAUGAUUCUCCUCGCUCUGCAUAGGGUUUAAUCUCCGUCCUCUCUCUCUGUUUGCCUCUCCUUUCCGUCGCCUUAAUCUUCCGCGGGCAAUUUCUCGGCGUUGUUUCUUCUCAGUUAUAACACCGGCGGUCUCUAAUUCGCUUGGUGCAGCUUGUUCGGGAAAUGUUUGGGCGAAUUGGAUCCCGCCUUGCAUCAACUGAAUCGGAAACCGUGGUGAAGAUUGCUUGGAUUCUUACCUUCCUACAGAUCUCAGGUACGGAGUUUCUCUUACUUUCGAGAGAGAACGAGUUAAUUUAAUUGUUCGCAUUUUUCAUGAUUGGAGUUGUAGAGCUUUGUUGCUAGUUUCGAUUUCUCUCCAUGACUGAAAUAAUAACCGGUUUGAAAAUUACUUAAUAGAUCUGGUCUGUGCUCUGAAUCUUGUUUAAUUAUCUUUCUUCCUUUUUCGUCCGCUUUCGGAGUUGACUACUGAAGAGCUUUAGCUGUGUUUCGAAUUGAGGCUAAUGUUUGUAUAUCAUAGAGCCAGAUUUAUUGUCGUUGAAGUUAUUUGGUUUCUGUUUAUUGCUUCCAUCCAUGAAACACAAUGACAGAUGUUACCUCUAAUUUUCAACAUAAAACUCCGAUUCAACUCCGUAUGGAAUAACGGAACUGUUAGAACUUUGUGUAUCAUAGAGCCAGAUUUAUUAUCGUUGAAGGUAUUUGGUUUCAGUUUAUUGCUUCCAUCCAUGGAACACAAUGAGAGAUGCUACUUCUAAUUUUGACAUAAAACUUCGAUUCGAAUCCGUAUAGAAUAACGGAACUGUUAGAACCUUAUACUUCAUAUUCUGCUCCUGCUAAAAAAUCUAAGGUCAAAGAAAAAAAAAGAGAGAGAGAGACAGAGAUGACAAUAAUCUUUGAACUGCUGUUUACCUUGUAAUAGUGUUUGGUCCAAUUAAUUGAUCUGUUUGCUGAGUACGUUUUCCGCGAAUGAUGAGUUUGACAAAAAG